CUUAACAUUUUUCUGUGCAGAAUAUGGAGCUCCUGAUGAUGGGGAAAUUAAGCCUCUGCAGCCAGUCAACUUGAAAAAUAAGUUGCUUUCUUUAUUGAUCAAAUGUCCCAACAAACCAGAUCAACAACCAAUAAAAAAGAAUCUUCCAGAUUCUAUGACUGUUCAGAAGUUAAAGGGUUUGCUAUAUCGUUUACUGAAGGUGCCAGGUUCUGAGUUAAAACUCACAUAUGAAAGUUCCAAGAUGGAAGGCAAAGAAAUUGAACUGGAAAAUGACUUGAAGCCCUUGCAGUUUUAUUCCAUAGAAAAUGGAGACUGUUUAUUAGUUAGAUGGUGAUAAAUCAAUCAGCCUUUUUUUUAU